AGCAGCCGCGGUAAUUCCAGCUCCAAUAGCGUAUAUUAAAGUUGUUGCAGUUAAAAAGCUCGUAGUUGAAUUUCGGGAUCAAUUAAUUGGUCGUGCCUCUGGUACGUACUGAUUUUAUUGGUUUCUCCCUUCUGACGAACCAUGAUGUCAUUAAUUUGGUGUCGUGGAGAAUCAGGACUGUUACUUUGAAAAAAUUAGAGUGUUUAAAGCAAGCUAACGCUUGAAUACAUUAGCAUGGAAUAAUGAAAUAGGACGUUUGAUCCUAUUUUGUUGGUUUCUAGGAUCGACGUAAUGAUUAAUAGGGAUAGUUGGGGGCAUUAGUAUUCAAUUGUCAGAGGUGAAAUUCUUGGAUUUAUUGAAGACUAACUACUGCGAAAGCAUUUGCCAAGGAUGUUUUCAUUAAUCAAGAACGAAAGUUAGGGGAUCGAAGACGAUCAGAUACCGUCGUAGUCUUAACCAUAAACUAUGCCGACUAGGGAUCGGAUGGUGUUAAUUUUUAAUGUACUCAUUCGGCGCCUUA
rnacentral:rRNA from 1 species